AGGGAAUCUUCGGCAAUGGACGGAAGUCUGACCGAGCAACGCCGCGUGAGUGAAGAAGGUUUUCGGAUCGUAAAGCUCUGUUGUAAGGGAAGAACGAGUGUGAGAGUGGAAAGUUCACACUGUGACGGUAUCUUACCAGAAAGGGACGGCUAACUACGUGCCAGCAGCCGCGGUAAUACGUAGGUCCCGAGCGUUGUCCGGAUUUAUUGGGCGUAAAGCGAGCGCAGGCGGUUAGAUAAGUCUGAAGUUAAAGGCUGUGGCUUAACCAUAGUAGGCUUUGGAAACUGUUUAACUUGAGUGCAAGAGGGGAGAGUGGAAUUCCAUGUGUAGCGGUGAAAUGCGUAGAUAUAUGGAGGAACACCGGUGGCGAAAGCGGCUCUCUGGCUUGUAACUGACGCUGAGGCUCGAAAGCGUGGGGAGCAAACAGGAUUAGAUACCCUGGUAGUCCACGCCGUAAACGAUGAGUGCUAGGUGUUAGACCCUUUCCGGGGUUUAGUGCCGUAGCUAACGCAUUAAGCACUCCGCCUGGGGAGUACGACCGCAAGGUUG
rnacentral:rRNA from 1 species